rnacentral:tRNA from 1 species
CCUGGUUUGGCUCAGUGGUUAGAGCAUCGGCCUGCAGACUGAAUGGUCCCGGGUUCGAUUCCCGGUCAGGG